rnacentral:rRNA from 1 species
AGAGCGAACGCUGGCGGCAGGCUUAACACAUGCAAGUCGAGCGGGCGUAGCAAUACGUCAGCGGCAGACGGGUGAGUAACGCGUGGGAACGUACCUUUUGGUUCGGAACAACACAGGGAAACUUGUGCUAAUACCGGAUAAGCCCUUACGGGGAAAGAUUUAUCGCCAAAAGAUCGGCCCGCGUCUGAUUAGCUAGUUGGUGAGGUAACGGCUCACCAAGGCGACGAUCAGUAGCUGGUCUGAGAGGAUGAUCAGCCACAUUGGGACUGAGACACGGCCCAAACUCCUACGGGAGGCAGCAGUGGGGAAUAUUGGACAAUGGGCGCAAGCCUGAUCCAGCCAUGCCGCGUGAGUGAUGAAGGCCCUAGGGUUGUAAAGCUCUUUUGUGCGGAAGAUAAUGACGGUACCGCAAGAAUAAGCCCCGGCUAACUUCGCGCCAGCAGCCGC